rnacentral:rRNA from 1 species
AGAGUUUGAUUAUGGCUCAGGAUGAACGCUGGCGGCGUGCUUAACACAUGCAAGUCGAACGGAAAGGCCUGUACUUGUACAGGUACUCGAGUGGCGAACGGGUGAGUAACACGUGGGUGAUCUGCCCUGCACUAUGGGAUAAGCUUGGGAAACUGGGUCUAAUACCAUAUAGGACCACUUCUUGGAUGUUGUGGUGGAAAGCUUUUGCGGUGUGGGAUGAGCCUGCGGCCUAUCAGCUUGUUGGUGGGGUAAUGGCCUACCAAGGCGGCGACGGGUAUCCGGCCUGAGAGGGUGUACGGACACAUUGGGACUGAGAUACGGCCCAGACUCCUACGGGAGGCAGCAGUGGGGAAUAUUGCACAAUGGGCGCAAGCCUGAUGCAAGCGACGCCGCGUGGGGGAUGACGGCCUUCGGGUUGUAAACUCCUUUCGCUAUCGACGAAGCCACCUUUGGUGGUGACGGUAGGUAGAUAAGAAGCACCGGCUAACUACGUGCCAGCAGCUGC